rnacentral:rRNA from 1 species
AUUGAACGCUGGCGGCAGGCCUAACACAUGCAAGUCGAACGAGUGGCGGACGGGUGAGAAAUGUCUGGGAAACUGCCUGAUGGAGGGGGAUAACUACUGGAAACGGUAGCUAAUACCGCAUACUAUCAGAUGUGCCCAGAUGGGAUUAGCUGGUUGGUGGGGUAACGGCUCCCCAAGGCGAAGAUCCCUAGCUGGUCUGAGAGGAUGACCAGCCACACUGGAACUGAGACACGGUCCAUACUCCUACGGGAGGCAGCAGUGGGGAAUAUUGCACAAUGGGCGCAAGCCUGAGGCAGCCAUGCCGCGUGUAUGAAGAAGGCCUUCGGGUUGUAAAGUACUUUCAGCGAGGAGGCGUUACUCGCAGAAGAAGCACCGGCUAACUCCGUGCCAGCAGCCGCGGUAAUUC